GGGUGUGGCAAAACACAUAAAAUGAUAAAAAAAUAUGGCCUUUUCAUCAAAUCACACUAAAACAGACACUACAGCCCAAAAGUCGCUUUAAUUUACCCUAAAUUUCAGAAAUGCUUUGCAUUUUCUUUGGUUCAAAAUAUUUUGAAGGGAUUUCGGUUGCAAAUUAAUUUUAUAGAUUUUAUUGAUCAUUUAGAUAGCCUCCCCCCUUUUUUUGUAUUUUCGCAAUAAAUUGAGGAAAGUCUCAUAUUUUAAUGAAACCAAGCAUUCAAAAAUAAAUACUUGAAUUAUACAGAUUGUAACAUGCAAUAUAGGUAAAUCAAAUAGAAAAUUCAAAGUGAAAUGGAUUUUUGUGUCACAAACAAUAGUAAGCAUUAGGCUUAAAAAAGGGGGGAGCUGCCAAAGACAAUUUUUUUUUGGUAUUUUUUUUAUUCCAAAUUCCUUUAGUACACUUGUCCCUAUUACUUUAAAGAGUAAAAUCCAUUCAUUUCUUCCUAGUAAUCCCAUUUUUGGUUAUUGCAGCUUGCUAAUUACUAAAGUU
rnacentral:lncRNA from 1 species